GACGAACGCUGGCGGCGUGCUUAACACAUGCAAGUCGAACGAUGAAGCCGGAGCUUGCUCUGGUGAAUUAGUGGCGAACGGGUGAGUAACACGUGAGUAACCUGCCCUUGACUCUGGGAUAACUGCGGGAAACUGUAGCUAAUACCGGAUACGACCCUCGGAGGCAUCUCCUGGGGGUGGAAAGAAUUUCGGGCAAGGAUGGACUCGCGGCCUAUCAGCUAGUUGGUGAGGUAAAGGCUCACCAAGGCGACGACGGGUAGCCGGCCUGGGAGGGUGACCGGCCACACGGGGACUGAGACACGGCCCAGACUCCUACGGGAGGCAGCAGUGGGGAAUAUUGCACAAUGGGCGCAAGCCUGAUGCAGCAACGCCGCUUGAGGGAUGACGGCCUUCGGGUUGUAAACCUCUUUUAGCAGGGAAGAAGCGAAAGUGACGGUACCUGCAGAAAAAGCACCGGCUAACUACGUGCCAGCCGCCGCAGUAA
rnacentral:rRNA from 1 species